rnacentral:rRNA from 1 species
GAUGAACGCUGGCGGCGUGCCUAAUACAUGCAAGUCGAGCGAACGGACGAGAAGCUUGCUUCUCUGAUGUUAGCGGCGGACGGGUAAGUAACACGUGGAUAACCUACCUAUAAGACUGGGAUAACUUCGGGAAACCGGAGCUAAUACCGGAUAAUAUUUUGAACCGCAUGGUUCAAAAGUGAAAGACGGUCUUGCUGUCACUUAUAGAUGGAUCCGCGCUGCAUUAGCUAGUUGGUGAGGUAACGGCUUACCAAGGCAACGAUGCAUAGCCGACCUGAGAGGGUGAUCGGCCACACUGGAACUGAGACACGGUCCAGACUCCUACGGGAGGCAGCAGUAGGGAAUCUUCCGCAAUGGGCGAAAGCCUGACGGAGCAACGCCGCGUGAGUGAUGAAGGUCUUCGGAUCGUAAAACUCUGUUAUUAGGGAAGAACAUAUGUGUAAGUAACUGUGCACAUCUUGACGGUACCUAAUCAGAAAGCCACGGCUAACUACGUG